UGGGCAACCUGCCCCUCUCUCUGGGAUAACCCCGGGAAACCGGAGCUAAUACCGGAUACUCCGGCUGGAUCGCAUGGUCCGGCCGGGAAAGGUCCGCCGGAGAGGGAUGGGCCCGCGGCCUAUCAGUUUGUUGGUGGGGUCAUGGCUCACCAAGGCGACGACGGGUAGCUGGUCUGAGAGGACGACCAGCCACACUGGAACUGAGAUACGGUCCAGACUCCUACGGGAGGCA
rnacentral:rRNA from 1 species